ensembl:lncRNA
AGAGAGCAAAAAAAUAGCAUGUCUAAUACAAGAUUUAUUUGAGUGAGGUUUUUUUUGGCCAAAUUUUAUGGCAACUUUUGCACUCUCUCAAACUUGCCAUACUAGCUGAUAAGCAACAUUAAAUAAAUCUAUGCAUAGCACACACACACACACAAAAAGGCACAUACGGUCCACUAUCUUUACAUUUCCACAAAAUGCAUCUCAAGGGAUUUUCCUGUCUUCCUGCAAAUUUUUCAAGAUAGGUUUGAGAGCAUUUAUGUUUAAAUAUGAUAUUCAUCUGCUUAAUGGACAUUUCCACUAAAAAGGCCACCACUGUACUCUGCAGUUGGAGCACUUCUUACUGAAGGAUUUGGCUUCAUCUUCAAGUUUGGACUUUAAGUCUUCCUGAUAGAGAGGAAAUAAUCUGUAGCACAGAGUACUCCACAGCAUGCUUCCAGGAGCAGCUCUUCAGCAGCAAGGCACCUGCAGAAACAGUCUCCUGCUGAAAGCUCCCUUAGAUCUGAGGACAAGCUUAUCCCUGGUAGCAGCAUGAAACUCUUCACUGAAAACACUUUGUCUUCAUCCCCUUGGAGCUGAAGCUUUUUUGAACUCCAGUAUCACCAUCAAAUGCAAUAGCUGCACAAGGAAACCAGUAUAAGGCAACAGGAUGGAGAAAGUGAACAGAAAGGACAUACAGGCAAAUAGGUAUUUUAAGGUACCACAACAAAUCCAGUGUUGCAUAAGUAGUUGCUAUACAGCAAAUUAUGAUACAAGCUAUUUUCUUUCAUCCAUGGUAGCAGCUGGGUCACUGAACAAGAUGAUGAUGUAGCUUCUGCACAGCAUUCACAUUUCAUUAGAAUACAUUAUAAACCAUUUCUGAGGUAGUGCACUGUAUACCUUGCUUCACUGGAGACGUCUACCAAGAAUCUGACUGAUAUGAACCAGAUGAGAAAGGACUUGUGAAGAAAAGAAAUUCCUUCCUUCCCUCCUUCCUUAUUUUUUUUUU